rnacentral:rRNA from 1 species
GACGAACGCUGGCGGCGUGCUUAACACAUGCAAGUCGAACGGAAAGGCCCUGCUUUUGUGGGGUGCUCGAGUGGCGAAAGGGUGAGUAACACGUGAGUAACCUGCCCUUGACUUUGGGAUAACUUCAGGAAACUGGGGCUAAUACCGGAUAGGAGCUUCUGCUGCAUGGUGGGGGUUGGAAAGUUUCGGCGGUUGGGGAUGGACUCGCGGCUUAUCAGCUUGUUGGUGGGGUAGUGGCUUACCAAGGCUUUGACGGGUAGCCGGCCUGAGAGGGUGACCGGCCACCUUGGGACUGCGAUACGGCCCAGACUCCUACGGGAGGCAGCAGAGGGGAAUAUUGCACAAUGGGCGGAAGCCUGAUGCAGCAACGCCGCGUGCGGGAUGACGGCCUUCGGGUUGUAAACCGCUUUCGCCGGUGACGAAGCGUGAGUGACGGUAAUGGGUAAAGAAGCACCGGCUAACUACGUG